UCGAUCAUGUGUCAGGAGAUGGGUAAAAGAGCCAUUCAAGAGUCUAUAUCUCUUCCAUUCCCAUCAUUGAUCACUACACUGUGCCAAGCUGUGAAUGUACCGGUGGAUGAAUGGAAAGAUAGAAAGGGUAGCGAGUCGGGGAUUAUUGAUAUCAACAUCUUGGUGAUGUUGUGGUGCCUCCAGUAGUGAUAGUUUAGGAGGAUCUUUGUCCACCCCAGCCUUAUGUGACUCCUCCGGCCGAUGUUGCAGAGUCCUCCACUCCCAG
rnacentral:lncRNA from 1 species